GGGCGUACAUGCGUCAUUUCCCCAAACAAAGCUAUUCAGUCAAACAUGGCCGGCGAAGAGCUAGAAUUCCUCUCACUGAUCGGACUUAUAUUAAGCAUAAUUCUGCGCACACGAAGACGCAUUAGAGACCUGGAUGACGAAGCUCAAUUGAUAAUAAAGGAAUCACGGAAGCGGUGUGAAGCGCUCCGUCGCGCGUCUAGGAGACGGUACCGUAGGAGGCGAGCUGCCAUGGUUCGCCGCAUGCUGCAGGAGACAGCGAUCCGGCGUAUAUGGAAACAUUGACGACCAAGUGGCGAAGUUUUCUGGUCAAACGCGUUGAAAAACUUUGGAGAUGAGAAGUAGUAUCAACAUUUUCGAAUGUCUCGCAGGACCUUCAACUACCUGUUAAGUUUGGUUAGGCCUGUUUUAACACGGAAAACUACAAACUGGCGCAGGCCUUACGAACCUUCCCUCAGGCUAGCCGUUGUUAUCUGGUGGUAUGCCACACCGAGCGAAUACAGAACCAUAAGCUGCCUGUUUGGUGUUGGUAUGUCCGCUGUCUGUGUAUUUUUGCGGGAGGUGACAAGUGCUCUGAACGACUGUUUGCUAGAAAGUUUCAUUUCAUUACCAAAGCAGGACCAGCUACAGCUCACACUGGAUGGAUUAGCUGCAUGCGGCUACCCAAUGUGUGGUGGAGCUAUAGAUGGAAGCCACAUUCCAAUCAGCUUCAUAUCACAACAGAAAAGGCUGGCAUCCCAUUGUUCUACAGGCUGUUGUUGACCACCGUUUCUGUUUCACAGAUGUUUAUGUUGGUUGGCCUGGUCGAACACAUGACGCCAGAGUACUCAGCAACUCUACCAUCUUCAUCAAAGCCGAACAACAAGACGGCUACCUGUUCCCCGUGAGAUGUCCAGAGACAUCAAUGGUGUAGAGGUACCGGUUCAUCUGAUCGGGGAUGCGGCAUAUCCACUGAAGAAGUGGCUGAUGAAGGGGUUCACACAACACCAUCGUCUGACGCCUGAACAAAGCACCUUCAACUAUCGUUUAAGCUCUGCUCGGAUGGUUGUUGAAAAUGCAUUUGGGCGGCUUAAGGGGCGCUGGAAGUGUCUGGCCAAGCGUUGUGAUGUGGACAUUCACAUUAUGCCGGACAUUGUGAUUGCUUGUUGUAUUCUUCACAAUGUCUGUGAGAUCAACAAAGACAAUUACCUUGCUGACUGGAAUACUGAUGCCACUGAACUACCUGAACCUAAUGCAGAAGCUGUGUAUGUACCUCCAGUUGGAGGGGCACAGCUAAUUCGAGAGGCAAUCAUGCCUGUACUUUAACUGCAUUUCAAAGUGAUUGUGCUUCUUGUCCAAAACUGUGUUAUACAUUUUGGGAUUGUAACUAUGUCAGCUUCCUCUAAUUAAAAAGCAUCAAACUUUUAA